rnacentral:rRNA from 1 species
GACGAACGCUGGCGGCGUGCUUACCACAUGCAAGUCGAACGGUAAGGCCCUUCGGGGUACACGAGUGGCGAACGGGUGAGUAACACGUGGGUGAUCUGCCCUGCACUUCGGGAUAAGCCUGGGAAACUGGGUCUAAUACCGGAUAGGACCAUGCGCUUCACGGUGUGUGGGGGAAAGCUUUUGCGGUGUGGGAUGGGCCCGCGGCCUGUCAGCUUGUUGGUGGGGUAAUGGCCCACCAAGGCGCCGACGGGUAGCCGGGCUGAAGUGGCAACCGGCAACACUGGGACUGAGAUAGGGCCCAGUGUCCUGCGGGAGGCAGCAGUGGGGAAUAUUGCACUAUGGGCGCAAGCCGGAUGCAUCGGCGUCGCGUGGGGGAUGACGGCCUUCGGAUUGGAAACCUCUUUCAGCACCGAGGUAGCGCAAGAGGCGGUAGGUGCGGAGGCAGGGCUGGCCAAGUGCGUGGCUGCAGCCGCGGUAA